GAAUUCGCCCUUAGAGUUUGAUCCUGGCUCAGGACGAACGCUGGCGGCGCGCCUAACACAUGCAAGUCGAACGAGCGAGAGAGAGCUUGCUUUCUCGAGCGAGUGGCGAACGGGUGAGUAACGCGUGAGGAACCUGCCUCAAAGAGGGGGACAACAGUUGGAAACGACUGCUAAUACCGCAUAAGCCCACGGCUCGGCAUCGAGCAGAGGGAAAAGGAGCAAUCCGCUUUGAGAUGGCCUCGCGUCCGAUUAGCUAGUUGGUGAGGUAACGGCCCACCAAGGCAACGAUCGGUAGCCGGACUGAGAGGUUGAACGGCCACAUUGGGACUGAGACACGGCCCAGACUCCUACGGGAGGCAGCAGUGGGGAAUAUUGCACAAUGGGGGAAACCCUGAUGCAGCGACGCCGCGUGGAGGAAGAAGGUCUUCGGAUUGUAAACUCCUGUUGUUGGGGAAGAUAAUGACGGUACCCAACAAGGAAGUGACGGCUAACUACGUGCCAGCAGCCGCGGUAAAACGUAGGUCACAAGCGUUGUCCGGAAUUACUGGGUGUAAAGGGAGCGCAGGCGGGAAGACAAGUUGGAAGUGAAAUCUAUGGGCUCAACCCAUAAACUGCUUUCAAAACUGUUUUUCUUGAGUAGUGCAGAGGUAGGCGGAAUUCCCGGUGUAGCGGUGGAAUGCGUAGAUAUCGGGAGGAACACCAGUGGCGAAGGCGGCCUACUGGGCACCAACUGACGCUGAGGCUCGAAAGUGUGGGUAGCAAACAGGAUUAGAUACCCUGGUAGUCCACACCGUAAACGAUGAUUACUAGGUGUUGGAGGAUUGACCCCUUCAGUGCCGCAGUUAACACAAUAAGUAAUCCACCUGGGGAGUACGACCGCAAGGUUGAAACUCAAAGGAAUUGACGGGGGCCCGCACAAGCAGUGGAGUAUGUGGUUUAAUUCGACGCAACGCGAAGAACCUUACCAAGUCUUGACAUCCCUUGACAGGCAUAGAAAUAUGUUUUCUCUUCGGAGCAAGGAGACAGGUGGUGCAUGGUUGUCGUCAGCUCGUGUCGUGAGAUGUUGGGUUAAGUCCCGCAACGAGCGCAACCCUUAUGGUCAGUUACUACGCAAGAGGACUCUGGCCAGACUGCCGUUGACAAAACGGAGGAAGGUGGGGAUGACGUCAAAUCAUCAUGCCCUUUAUGACUUGGGCUACACACGUACUACAAUGGCGUUAAACAAAGAGAAGCAAGACCGCGAGGUGGAGCAAAACUCAGAAACAACGUCCCAGUUCGGACUGCAGGCUGCAACUCGCCUGCACGAAGUCGGAAUUGCUAGUAAUCGUGGAUCAGCAUGCCACGGUGAAUACGUUCCCGGGCCUUGCACACACCGCCCGUCA
rnacentral:rRNA from 1 species